rnacentral:rRNA from 1 species
GACGAACGCUGGCGGCGUGCUUAACACAUGCAAGUCGAACGAAAAUACCAAGCUUGCUUGGUUGAUUAGUGGCGAACGGGUGAGUAACACGUGAGUAACCUGCCCCUUACUUUCCUGGAUAACUGCUCGAAAGGGUAGCUAAUACGGGAUAUUCUGACCAGCCUGCAUGGGUUGGUUUGGAAAGGUUGUUUUUCUGGUAAGGGAUGGGCUCGCGGCCUAUCAGCUUGUUGGUGGGGUGAUGGCCUACCAAGGCUUUGACGGGUAGCCGGCCUGAGAGGGUGGACGGUCACACUGGGAAUGAGAUACGGCCCAGACUCCUACGGGAGGCAGCAGUGGGGAAUAUUGCACAAUGGGCGCAAGCCUGAUGCAGCGACGCCGCGUGAGGGAUGAAGGCCUUCGGGUUGUAAACCUCUUUCGUCAGGGAACAAGGCACUGCUUUUUUGGUGGUGUUGAGGGUACCUGGAUAAGAAGCGCCGGCUAACUACGUG